UGCAAGUCGAGGGGCAGCAUGAUUGAAGCUUGCUUCAAUUGAUGGCGACCGGCGCACGGGUGAGUAACGCGUAUCCAACCUUCCGUACACCCAGGGAUAGCCUUUCGAAAGAAAGAUUAAUACCCGAUGGUAUGAUGAGAUUGCAUGAUAGCAUCAUUAAAGAUUUAUCGGUGUACGAUGGGGAUGCGUUCCAUUAGGUAGUAGGCGGGGUAACGGCCCACCUAGCCGACGAUGGAUAGGGGUUCUGAGAGGAAGGUCCCCCACAUUGGAACUGAGACACGGUCCAAACUCCUACGGGAGGCAGCAGUGAGGAAUAUUGGUCAAUGGACGAGAGUCUGAACCAGCCAAGUAGCGUGAAGGAUGAAGGUCCUACGGAUUGUAAACUUCUUUUAUAAGGGAAUAAAACCUCCCACGUGUGGGAGCUUGUAUGUACCUUAUGAAUAAGCAUCGGCUAACUCCGUGCCAGCAGCCGCGGUAAUACGGAGGAUGCGAGCGUUAUCCGGAUUUAUUGGGUUUAAAGGGAGCGCAGACGGGUCGUUAAGUCAGCUGUGAAAGUUUGGGGCUCAA
rnacentral:rRNA from 1 species